AUGUGCUGUGUUAAUGCUAGAGGUUCCUAUGUGCUGUGUUAAUGCUAGAGGUUCCCAUGUGCUGUGUUAAUGCUAGAGGUUCCUAUGUGCUGUGUUAAUGCUAGAGGUUCCCAUGUGCUGUUUUAAUGCUAGAGGUUCCCAUGUGCUGUGUUAAUGCUAGAGGUUCCCAUGUGCUGUGUUAAUGCUAGAGGUUCCCAUGUGCUGUGUUAAUGCUAGAGGUUCCCAUGUGCUGUGUUAAUGCUAGAGGUUCCCAUGUGCUGUGUUAAUGCUAGAGGUUCCCAUGUGCUGUGUUAAUGCUAGAGGUUCCCAUGUGCUGUGUUAAUGCUAGAGGUUCCCAUGUGCUGUGUUAAUGCUAGAGGUUCCCAUGUGCUGUGUUAAUGCUAGAGGUUCCCAUGUGCUGUGUUAAUGCUAGAGGUUCCCAUGUGCUGUGUUAAUGCUAGAGGUUCCCAUGUGCUGUGUUAAUGCUAGAGGUUCCCAUGUGCUGUGUUAAUGCUAGAGGUUCCCAUGUGCUGUGUUAAUGCUAGAGGUUCCCAUGUGCUGUGUUAAUGCUAGAGGUUCCCAUGUGCUGUGUUAAUGCUAGAGGUUCCCAUGUGCUGUGUUAAUGCUAGAGGUUCCCAUGUGCUGUGUUAAUGCUAGAGGUUCCCAUGUGCUGUGUUAAUGCUAGAGGUUCCCAUGUGCUGUGUUAAUGCUAGAGGUUCCCAUGUGCUGUGUUAAUGCUAGAGGUUCCUAUGUGCUGUGUUAAUGCUAGAGGUGCCCAUGUGCUGUGUUAAUGCUAGAGGUUCCCAUGUGCUGUGUUAAUGCUAGAGGUGCCCAUGUGCUGUGUUAAUGCUAGAGGUUCCUAUGUGCUGUGUUAAUGCUAGAGGUUCCUAUGUGCUGUGUUAAUGCUAGAGGUGCCCAUGUGCUGUGUUAAUGCUAGAGGUUCCCAUGUGCUGUUUAAAUGCUAGAGGUUCCCAUGUGCUGUUUUAAUGCUAGAGGUUCCUAUGUGCUGUGUUAAUGCUAGAGGGCCCAUGUGCUGUGUUAAU